UAGGGAAUCUUCCGCAAUGGACGCAAGUCUGACGGAGCAACGCCGCGUGAGUGAAGAAGGAUUUCGGUUCGUAAAACUCUGUUGUUAGAGAAGAACAGCGCAUAGAGUAACUGUUAUGCGUGUGACGGUAUCUAACCAGAAAGCCACGGCUAACUACGUGCCAGCAGCCGCGGUAAUACGUAGGUGGCAAGCGUUAUCCGGAAUUAUUGGGCGUAAAGCGCGCGUAGGCGGUUUUUUAAGUCUGAUGUGAAAGCCCACGGCUCAACCGUGGAGGGUCAUUGGAAACUGGAAAACUUGAGUGCAGAAGAGGAAAGUGGAAUUCCAUGUGUAGCGGUGAAAUGCGCAGAGAUAUGGAGGAACACCAGUGCGAAGGCGACUUUCUGGUCUGUAACUGACGCUGAUGUGCGAAAGCGUGGGGAUCAAACAGG
rnacentral:rRNA from 1 species